rnacentral:rRNA from 1 species
AUGAUUCAAGUGUACAAUCCGAGUAUUGAAUAUACUCCAGGCAAGGCCAAUGUCAUUGCAGAUGCUUUAAGCAGGAAGGCUUAUUGCAACAGCUUAAUCCUCAAGCCAUUCCAACCGGAUCUUUGUGAAGCUUUCCGCAAGCUGAAUCUCCAAGUUGUUCCUCAAGGCUUUCUUGCCAACCUCAUAGUCUCUCCUACUUUGGAAGAUCAAAUUCGUGAGGCACAACUUCUUGAUGCCAUGGUGAAGAAGGUGAAACGUGGUAUCGACAAGGGUCUUUCCAAAUACAAGUGCUACUGCAUUGAUGACAGAUACACUUUAUUCUUCGAGGACCGGAUUGUGGUUCCUAAAGGUGAUCUAAGGAAAGUCAUAAUGAACGAGGCACACAAUUCUCUUCUUUCCAUUCAUCCUGGAAGUACGAAGAUGUACCAUGACCUCAAGCAGUCGUAUUGGUGGACUCGAAUGAAGCGAGAAAUCGCCCAAUUCGUGAACGAAUGUGAUGUCUGUCGAAGGGUGAAAGCAGAACACCAACGACCAGCUGGUCUCCUCCAACCUCUUGCUAUCCCAGAAUGGAAGUUUGAUCAUAUCGAAAUGGACUUCGUGACUGGUUUUCCAAAGUCCAAGCGUGGAAAUGAUGCUAUCUUCGUUGUCAUUGACAAGCUUACUAAAGUGGCUCAUUUCCUUCCAAUCAAAGAGUCUAUCACAGUAGCUCAGUUGGUAGAGCUAUACACCUCCAGGAUUGUCUCCUUGCACGGCAUUCCACAAUUGAUUUCUUCAGAUCGUGGAAGCAUCUUCACUUCUAAGUUCUAG